UGGGGAAUUUUGGACAAUGGGCGAAAGCCUGAUCCAGCAAUGCCGCGUGUGUGAAGAAGGCCUUCGGGUUGUAAAGCACUUUUGUCCGGAAAGAAAUCCUUGGCUCUAAUACAGUCGGGGGAUGACGGUACCGGAAGAAUAAGCACCGGCUAACUACGUGCCAGCAGCCGCGGUAAUACGUAGGGUGCAAGCGUUAAUCGGAAUUACUGGGCGUAAAGCGUGCGCAGGCGGUUUGCUAAGACCGAUGUGAAAUCCCCGGGCUCAACCUGGGAACUGCAUUGGUGACUGGCAGGCUAGAGUAUGGCAGAGGGGGGUAGAAUUCCACGUGUAGCAGUGAAAUGCGUAGAGAUGUGGAGGAAUACCGAUGGCGAAGGCAGCCCCCUGGGCCAAUACUGACGCUCAUGCACGAAAGCGUGGGGAGCAAAACAGGAUUAGAUACCCUGGUAGUCCACGCCCUAAACGAUGUCAACUAGUUGUUGGGGAUUCAUUUCCUUAGUAACGUAGCUAACGCGUGAAGUUGACCGCCUGGGGAGUACGGUCGCAAGAUUAAAACUCAAAUGAAUUGACGGGGUCAUAGCU
rnacentral:rRNA from 1 species